rnacentral:rRNA from 1 species
AGAGUUUGAUCCUGGCUCAGGAUGAACGCUAGCUACAGGCUUAACACAUGCAAGUCGAGGGGCAGCGCAGUGUAGCAAUACAUGGGCGGCGACCGGCGCACGGGUGCGUAACGCGUAUCCAACUUUCCCGUUACUCUUGGAUAGCCUUCCGAAAGGGAGAUUAAUACAGGAUGGUAUUCAAAUUCCGCAUGUUAUUUGAAUUAAAGAUUUAUCGGUAACGGAUGGGGAUGCGUGACAUUAGAUAGUAGGCGGGGUAACGGCCCACCUAGUCCACGAUGUCUAGGGGUUCUGAGAGGAAGGUCCCCCACACUGGAACUGAGACACGGUCCAGACUCCUACGGGAGGCAGCAGUGAGGAAUAUUGGUCAAUGGUCGGAAGACUGAACCAGCCUAGUAGCGUGAAGGAUGAAGGUUCUAUGGAUUGUAAACUUCUUUUAUACGGGAAUAAAACCACCUACGUGUAGGUGCUUGUAUGUACCGUAUGAAUAAGCAUCGGCUAACUCCGUGCCAGCAGCCGCGGUAAUACGGAGGAUGCGAGCGUUAUCCGGAUUUAUUGGGUUUAAAGGGAGCGUAGACGGGAUGUUAAGUCAGUUGUGAAAGGCUGCGGCUCAACCGCAGCACUGCAGUUGAUACUGGCGUCCUUGAGUGCGGUUGAGGUGUGUGGAAUUCGUGGUGUAGCGGUGAAAUGCUUAGAUAUCACGAAGAACUCCGAUUGCGAAGGCAGCACACUAAGCCGCUACUGACGUUGAGGCUCGAAAGUGUGGGUAUCAAACAGGAUUAGAUACCCUGGUAGUCCACACGGUAAACGAUGAAAACUCGCUGUUGGCGAUAGACAGUCAGCGGCCAAGCGAAAGCAUUA